GAAGAGGUCACACCCGUUCCCAUUCCGAACACGGCAGUUAAGCUCUUCAGCGCCGAUGGUAGUUGGGGGUUUCCCCCUGUGAGAGUAGGACGUCGCCAAGC
rnacentral:rRNA from 1 species